rnacentral:rRNA from 1 species
UACGGGGGGUGCGAGCGUUGUCCGGAAUCACUGGGCGUAAAGGGCGCGUAGGUGGUUUGAUGAGGGUGUGGUGAAAGUCCGGAGCUCAACUCCGGAUCUGCCGUGCCGACUGUCAAACUCGAGGGCUGUAGAGGCAGACGGAAUUCCGGGUGUAGCGGUGGAAUGCGUAGAGAUCCGGAGGAAGACCGGUGGCGAAGGCGGUCUGCUGGGCAGUUUCUGACACUGAGGCGCGACAGCGUGGGGAGCAAACAGG